rnacentral:rRNA from 1 species
GGGGGGGGGGGGGGGGGGGCGGGGCGGGUGGGGGGGGGGGGGGGGGGGGGGAGGGGCGGGCGCUGGGGGGGGGCGAGGGGCGGGCGGGUGAGGAAGACAUCGGAAUCGACGUUGUCGUGGGGGGUAACGGAGGGGAGCGUACGCUAAUACCGCCUACGACCUACGGGUGAAAGCAGGGGAUCUUCGGACCUUGCGCGAUUGAAUGGGCCGAUGUCGGAUUAGCUAGUUGGCGGGGUAAAGGCCCACCAAGGCGACGAUCCGUAGCCGGUCUGAGAGGAUGAUCAGCCACACUGGAACUGAGACACGGUCCAGACUCCUACGGGAGGCAGCAGUGGGGAAUAUUGGACAAUGGGCGCAAGCCUGAUCCAGCCAUACCGCGUGGGUGAAGAAGGCCUUCGGGUUGUAAAGCCCUUUUGUUGGGAAAGAAAAGCAGCAGGUUAAUACCCCGCUGUUCUGACGGUACCCAAAGAAUAAGCACCGGCUAACUUCGUG